GAGGGGCAGCAUGGUCUUAGCUUGCUAAGGCCGAUGGCGACCGGCGCACGGGUGAGUCAACGCGUAUCCGACCUUCCCCUUAGUAGGGCAUAGCCCGGCGAAAGUCGGAUUAAUACCCUAUGUUGUCAAUUGAGGACAUCUGAAGCUGACUAAAGGUUUACCGCUAAGGGAUGGGGAUGCGUCUGAUUAGGUUGUUGGCGGGGUAACGGCCCACCAUCCAUCUAUCUUAGGGGUUCUGAGAGGAAGGUCCCCCACACUGGUACUGAGACACGGACCAGACUCCUACGGGAGGCAGCAGUGAGGAUGUUCGGUCAUGGCGAGAGCCUGACCAGCAGAGCGGGGAGGAGACGGCUAUGGGUGUAAACUGCUUUUAUCAGGGAUAACGUCGACGGCACUCGUCCCUCAUUGGUGAGGUACUGAUGAUAGGACGCUGAGUGCGUGCACACCCGCGGUAUACGGGAGGUGCGGCGUUAUCCGGAUUAUGGGUUAAAGGAGCGAGCG
rnacentral:rRNA from 1 species